rnacentral:tRNA from 1 species
GGGGUUGUGGCUCAGUGAUAGAGUGCUUGCCUAGCAUGCAUGUGACAAUGGGUUUGAUCCUCAGCACCA